CUUUUCUUGCCUUCUAUGGACCUGGCGGCAAGAAACCCUAGGGUUUCUUGCUCCUGGGGCAUGGAGAAUAGCUGAAGAGAGAGGGAGAAGAGAGAGAGAGACUUGGGAGAAAGGGUUUUCAUAUUUCUUGGCUUAAUCAAACCUAUACAGUGCAUGUAUAUAUAAACAUAGGGUCAAGUGACCCAAACCCAAAACUCCCUUGACC
rnacentral:lncRNA from 1 species